AUUGAACGCUGGCGGCAUGCCUUACACAUGCAAGUCGAACGGUAACGCGGGGCAACCUGGCGACGAGUGGCGAACGGGUGAGUAAUAUAUCGGAACGUGCCCAGUUGUGGGGGAUAACAGCUCGAAAGAGCAGCUAAUACCGCAUACGACCUGAGGGUGAAAGCGGGGGAUCGCAAGACCUCGCGCAAUUGGAGCGGCCGAUAUCAGAUUAGGUAGUUGGUGGGGUAAAGGCCUACCAAGCCGACGAUCUGUAGCUGGUCUGAGAGGACGACCAGCCACACUUGGAAUGAGAUACGGCCCAGCAUCCUACGGGAUGCAGCAGUGGGGAAUUUUGGACACUGGGGGCAACCCUGAUCCAGCCAUGCCGCGUGCGGGAAGAAGGCCGUCGGGUUGUAAACCGCUUUUGUCAGGGAAGAAAUCCUUUGGGUUAAUACCUCGGAGGGAUGACGGUACCUGAAGAAUAAGCACCGGCUAACUACGUGCCAGCCGCCGCAGUAACAC
rnacentral:rRNA from 1 species